rnacentral:rRNA from 1 species
GACGAACGCUGGCGGCGUGCCUAACACAUGCAAGUCGAACGAGAAAUCCAUGUGUGAUCCCUUCGGGGUGAACAUUUGGAUGGAAAGUGGCGGACGGGUGAGUAACGCGUGAGCAACCUACCCUAGAGAGGGGGACAACACAGAGAAAUUUGUGCUAAUACCGCAUAACGAGUGUGAAUCGCAUGGUUUACACUCCAAAGAUUUAUCGCUCUAGGAUGGGCUCGCGUCCGAUUAGAUAGUUGGUGAGGUAACGGCUCACCAAGUCGACGAUCGGUAGCCGGACUGAGAGGUUGAACGGCCACAUUGGGACUGAGACACGGCCCAG